rnacentral:rRNA from 1 species
GACAGAGGGUGCAAACGUUGUUCGGAAUUACUGGGCGUAAAGCGAGUGUAGGCGGUUCGAUAAGUCGGAUGUGAAAGCCCCGGGCUCAACCCGGGAAGUGCACUCGAUACUGUCGAGCUAGAGUAUCGGAGAGGUUGGUGGAAUUCUCGGUGUAGAGGUGAAAAUUCGUAGAUAUCGAGAGGAACACCGGUGGCGAAGGCGGCCAACUGGACGAAUACUGACGCUGAGACUCGAAAGCGUGGGGAGCAAACAGG